rnacentral:rRNA from 1 species
UAGUGGCAGACGGGUGAGUAACACGUGGGUAACCUACCUUCAAGCUGGGGAUAACAGUUGGAAACGACUGAUAAUACCGAAUAAGAUAUAGCAAUAUAUUGAAAGGAGCCUUUAAAGCUCCACUUAAAGAUGGGCCUGCGGCGUAUUAACUAGUUGGUGAGGUAAUGGCUCACCAAGGUGACGAUGCGUAGCCGAACUGAGAGGUUGAUCGGCCACACUGGGACUGAGACACGGCCCAGACUCCUACGGGAGACAGCAGUUAGGAAUAUUCGUCAAUGGGGGAAACCCUGAACGAGCAAUGCCGCGUGAGUGAUGAAGGCCCUAUGGGUUGUAAAACUCUGUUGUAUGGGAAGAACGGCUAUAUUAGGAAAUGAAUAUAGAGUGACGGUACCAUACCAGAAAGCUCCGGCUAACUACGUGCCAGCAGCCGCGGUAAUACGUAGGGAGCGAGCGUUAUCCGGAUUUAUUGGGCGUAAAGCGUGCGUAGGCGGUUUAUUAAGCUUAAGAUAAAAGCCCGGGGCUCAACUCCGGCUCGUCUUAAAAACUGGUAGACUUGAGUGUGGUAGAGGUAAAUGGAAUUUCUAGUGUAGCGGUGAAAUGCGUAGAUAUUAGAAGGAACACCAGUGGCGAAGGCGAUUUACUGGGCCAUAACUGACGCUGAGGCACGAAAGCGUGGGGAGCAAAUAGGAUUAGAUACCCUAGUAGUCCACGCCGUAAACGAUGAGUACUAAGUGUUGGAGAUUCCAGUGCUGAAGCUAACGUAUUAAGUACUCCGCCUGAGUAGUACGGUCGCAAGGCUGAAACUCAAAGGAAUUGACGGGCACCCGCACAAGCGGUGGAGCAUGCUGUUUAAUUCGAAGAUACGCGAAGAACCUUACCUAGACUUGACAUCCCCGGCAAAGACAUGGAAACAUGUUGGAGGUUACCCGGGAGACAGGUGGUGCAUGGUUGUCGUCAGCUCGUGUCGUGAGAUGUUCGGUUAAGUCCGCUAACGAGCGCAACCCUUAUCCUUAGUUGCUAACAGUAAGAUGAGAACCCUAAGGAGACUGCCGGUGAUAAGCCGGAGGAAGGUGGGGAUGACGUCAAAUCAUCAUGCCCCUUACGUCUAGGGCUGCAGGCGUGCUAUAAUGGCCAAUAUAAAGAGAAGCAAUACCGUGAGGUGGAGCAAAACUCCAAAGUUGGUCUCAGUUCGGAUUGAAGUCUGCAACUCGACUUCAUGAAGUUAGAAUCGCUAGUAAUCCUGAAUCAGAAUGUCAGGGUGAAUACGUUCCCGGGUGUUGCACACACCGCCCGUCA